ACGCUCGACACCUACGGGGGCAGCAGUGGGGAAUAUUGCACAAUGGGGGAAACCCUGAUGCAGCGACGCCGCGUGAAGGAAGAAGUAUCUCGGUAUGUAAACUUCUAUCAGCAGGGAAGAAAGUGACGGUACCUGACUAAGAAGCCCCGGCUAACUACGUACCAGCAGCCGCGGUAAUCUGAGCGGGCUGGCAAGGC
rnacentral:rRNA from 1 species